rnacentral:rRNA from 1 species
UGUGCCAGCAGUCGCGGUAAGACAUGGAAGACAAGCGUUAUUCAUCUUUAUUAGGUUUAAAGGGUACUCAGACAGUUAAUUAAGCCUGCACAAGGGACUGAUUAUACUAGAGUUUAAUAGGAGAAGGCUAGAACGGUUAGCGGAGAGAUAAAAUAUGUUGAUACAACCUUGAUACUGACAACGGCGAAGGCAACCUUUUAUGUAAAAACUGACGUUAAAGGACGAAGGCUAUAAAUAAACAACAGGAUUAGGUACCCUAGUAUUCGUGGCAGUCAAUGAUGAAUGUUGUAGGUAAGUAAUAUAGUUUACCUAUAAAUGAAAAUGUAAACAUUCCACCUUAAGAGUAAUAUGGCAACGUAGGAACUGAAAUCAUUAGACCGUUUCUGAAACCAGUAGUGAAGUAUGUUAGUUAAAUUGAUGAUCCACAAAGAACCUUACCACAACUUGAAUGUUAAUUCACAGGAGUUGCACGGCUGUCUUCAGUUGAUAUCGUGAGAUUUUGGUUAGUUCCAUUUAAUCAACGUAAACCCUUACUUUAAUUUAUACAUAAAGUAGUUCGCCACUAUAUUGGAUAUGAUAAAAGGGACUAAGACAAGUCAUCAUGACCUAAAAUGUUGUGGGCUAUAG